AACGAACGCUGGCGGCGCGCCUAAUACAUGCAAGUCGAGCGAGAAGGUGUAGCAAUACACUUGUAAAGCGGCGAACGGGUGAGGAAUGCAUGGGUAACCUACCCUCGAGUGGGGAAUAACUAGCCGAAAGGUUAGCUAAUACCGCAUACGUUUCCGGAACUUCGGUUUCGGAAAGAAAGCAAUACCGUGGGUAUUGCGCUCCUGGAUGGGCUCAUGUCCUAUCAGCUUGUUGGUGAGGUAACGGCUCACCAAGGCUUCGACGGGUAGCUGGUCUGAGAGGACGAUCAGCCACACUGGCACUGCGACACGGGCCAGACUCCUACGGGAGCAGCAGUAAGGAAUAUUGGACAAUGGGCGCAAGCCUGAUCCAGCCAUGCCGCGUGAGUGAUGAAGGCCCUAGGGUUGUAAAGCUCUUUCACCGGUGAAGAUAAUGACGGUAACCGGAGAAGAAGACCCCGGCUAACUUCGUGCCAGCAGCCGCGGUAAU
rnacentral:rRNA from 1 species